GCUAAAUCUAUCUAACUCUAUUUAAGAAUUUUUUCCCUUACUCGAAGAUCAUUUCAUCAAACGAAAGAAGAAACAUCCCGAUCCAAUGACACUUGCAGCUGGUGGGGGAGAGUGGGGGGAUGGUGGGUUUGUAACUCAGCCUAGCUGACACAACAUGGAUUCAAUUGAUUUUGCAGCCUAUCAGAAGGGUAAAUUAAGCAUCUGGGCAAACACCAGGGAAUCAGUCUCAAAAAUAGCUUGCUCUACCCCUUUUGUGGAAGCUAAAUAACAGCUUGUAGCGCUUGAGCUUCUGCUGCCAAGGGACAGAAACAGGGUGUCCUGCAGUGAAACCCAUCCACCAAAGUAGCAUUAUAGUCUCUUGUGACACAAGCAAUUCUUGCCGGCCACAAAAGACGCGUCCACAUUAAACUUCAAGCAGCUAGGGCAAGGAGCACACAAGUGCUGCAGGGGAUGAAAUAUCGAGCUCUGAGGAACAGGCAGAGAAUGCUCUAGCUUGGAGACAGAAGAAGAGAAUGUGCUCCGUAGUUUCCUCCUGAUGCCCAUGAAGGGAACGCGCAAGGAAGGAUAACAUUUUGUCUUAAAAAGUUUGGCUCUUAUAGCAAGGGAAUCAGAAGCAGCUCUCUAUAAAAAGGAUUGAUUUUUGGAGGGAACUGUAAAGCCAAAUGCUUUGCCAAAACUUAUUUAAAGAAGAUGAGAAAGUAGAAGAAGCUCGCUAGAGAUCUUGGAUAGGAUUUGUUUCAGCUGAUUUUACUGUUAGAAUUCCAUUAUGAAUAAUUAAAAUGCCUGACCCUUACGUCCUCUCUUUGAUUUUGCGUGACUGGAAUCUUCAGGAUUUCUCUGCCACACCUACUCUCAAGUUGUGAUCCCCACGGUUAUGCGGCACGCGAUACACGACUUGACUUUGACACUUUCUCAGCAACCAAACAGGGAAAGAAGAAGCAGCAGUGGACCAAGCACAAAUCCCGGAAGAGACGUGUACUUGCAGAAGCAGAGGACGAG
rnacentral:misc_RNA from 1 species